UGCGGCACACUGACGCCUCGAUAUGUAAA
rnacentral:sRNA from 1 species